rnacentral:rRNA from 1 species
CGGCGCAAGUCUGACCAUCACAUUCGAUUAAUCCCAGGUGCUCAACCUGUCAACAUCAGACCCUAUCGCCACAAACCAGAGCACAAGACAGAAAUAGAAAAGCAAGUCGCUGAACUGUUGCAGUCAGGCGUUAUACGAAGAAGCAAAAGCCCCUUUGCUUCUCCAGCUAUCUUAGUAAAGAAGAAAGAUGGUACAUGGUGCCUUUGCAUAGACUAUCGUCACCUUAAUGCUAUGACGAUAGUUUCAAAAUACCCUGUGCCAAUCAUUGAAGAGCUGUUAGAUGAACUUCACGGAGCCAAGUGGUUUUCCAAACUGGAUUUGAGAGCCGGCUACCAUCAGAUACAGUUAGCGGAAGGGGAUGAACACAAAACGGCCUUCCAAACUCACUCAGGGCAUUUUGAGUUUUUGGUCAUGUCAUUUGGCUUGGCAGGUGGACCAGCAACCUUCAUUGAAUCCAUCCAAGACACUCUGCAGCCUGUGUACCGUGUUUGUGUGCUGUCCUUUUUCGACGACAUCUUGGUAUUCAGUAAAAGUUUGGAGGACCAUGUUAAACAUGCGCCAAAGUUUUCCAGCUGCUCCAACGAGACCAAUGGAAGGUCAAACUCUCCAAGUGUUCGUUCGGCC